rnacentral:tRNA from 1 species
UCCCUGGUAGCUCAGAUGGUAGAGAAUCUGUCUGCAAUGCAGGAGACCUGGGUUUGAUCCCUGGGUUGGGAA